rnacentral:rRNA from 1 species
GACAUGCAAGUCGAACGGACGUAGCAAUACGUCAGUGGCGGACGGGUGAGUAAUGUAUCGCUAAUGUACCCCGGGAGUCUGGGAUAGCUGCCCGAAAGGGCAGGUAAUACCGGAUGACAUCCCCUUUAUCGCAUGAUGAGGGUCUCAAAGGAGCAAUCCGCUCUGGGAGCAGGCGAUAUCGUAUCAGGUAGUUGGUGAGGUAACGGCUCACCAAGCCGACGACGCGUAGCUGGUCUGAGAGGACGGCCAGCCACAUCGGGACUGAGACACUGCCCGGACUCCUACGGGGGGCUGCAGUAACGAAUCUUCCACAAUGCACGAAAGUGUGAUGGAGCGACGCCGCGUGUAGGAUGAAGUCCUUCGGGAUGUAAACUACUGUCAGGGGAAAGAAAGUUCUGAUCUACCCCAGAGGAAGAGGCGGCUAACUCUGUGCCAGCAGCCGCGGUAAUACAGAGGCCUCGAGCGUUAGGCGGAAUCACUGGGCUUAAAGCGUGUGUAGGCGGACUUCUAAGUACCUUGUGAAAUCCCACAGCUUAACUGUGGAACUGCUUGGUAUACUGGUUGUCUUGAGGUACCUAGGGGCGAGCGGAACAAGUGGUGGAGCGGUGAAAUGCGUAGAUAUCACUUGGAACGCCAACGGUGAAAACAGCUCGCUGGGGGUAUCCUGACGCUGAGACACGAAAGCCAGGGGAGCAAACGGGAUUAGAUACCCCGGUAGUCCUGGCCCUAAACGAUGUCGACUAGAUCGUGGUGGCUCUGACGCCUUCACGGUCGAAGCAAAAGUGCUAAGUCGACCGCCUGGGAAGUACGGUCGCAAGGCUAAAACUCAAAGGAAUUGACGG